GAUGAACGCUGGCGGCGUGCCUAAUACAUGCAAGUCGAGCGAACAGACGAGGCGCUUGCUCCUCUGACGUUAGCGGCGGACGGGUGAGUAACACGUGGAUAACCUACCUAUAAGACUGGGAUAACUUCGGGAAACCGGAGCUAAUACCGGAUAAUAUAUUGAACCGCAUGGUUCAAUAGUGAAAGACGGUUUUGCUGUCACUUAUAGAUGGCUCCGCGCCGCAUUAGCUAGUUGGUAAGGUAACGGCUUACCAAGGCAACGAUGCGUAGCCGACCUGAGAGGGUGAUCGGCCACACUGGAACUGAGCCACGGUCCAGACUCCUACGGGAGGCAGCAGUAGGGAAUCUUCCGCAAUGGGCGAAAGCCUGACGGAGCAACGCCGCGUGAGUGAUGAAGGUCUUCGGAUCGUAAAACUCUGUUAUUAGGGAAGAACAAAUGUGUAAGUAACUAUGCACGUCUUGACGGUACCUAAUCAGAAAGCCACGGCUAACUACGUG
rnacentral:rRNA from 1 species